GUUCACAUCAGCAGAACAUACACUAAAAUUGGAACAAUACAGAGAAGAUUAGCAAGGCCCCUGUGCAAGGAUGAUACACAAAUUUGUGAAGUGCUUAUAUAUGUU
rnacentral:snRNA from 1 species